rnacentral:rRNA from 1 species
GUGAGGAAUUUUCCGCAAUGGGCGAAAGCCUGACGGAGCAAUGCCGCGUGAAGGAUGAAGGCCUAUGGGUUGUAAACUUCUUUUCUUAGUGAAGAAUAUUGACGGUAUCUGAGGAAUAAGCAUCGGCUAACUCUGUGCCAGCAGCCGCGGUAAGACAGAGGAUGCAAGCGUUAUCCGGAUUGAUUGGGCGUAAAGCGUCGGUAGGUGGCUUCAAAAGUCUCCUGUCAAAGAUCAGGGCUUAACCCUGGGCCGGCAGGAGAAACUCCGAGACUAGAGUUUGGUAGGGGCAGAGGGAAUUCCCGGUGGAGCGGUGAAAUGCGUAGAGAUCGGGAGGAACACCAAAGGCGAAAGCACUCUGCUGGGCCACAACUGACACUGAGAGACGAAAGCGAGGGGAGCAAAAGGGAUUAGAUACCCGUGUAGUCC